AUGAAGCCCUUGUCGCGGAACAUCCAGAGAGAACUCGACGCCAAGGCCGUGGCCGACGGGGAGGAAGACGGCAAGCAGCACACCGAGAGAGGCGUCCGGCGGCCGUCCCGGCUGUUCUACGUCGGCCUCCUCUACACCGUCUUGUGGGCCCUGGUAUUCUUCCACCACUUCUCCACGAGCGUGCAAUCAGGUAAUAACGCGGCGGCGGCGUCGCCCACCGUGCUCCAGCUCAAGCCGUCGGCCUUCUUCUCGGCGUCCCGCAUCUUCCGCCGGGACCCAUGCGCCGGACGGUACGUGUACAUGUACGACCUGCCGCCGCGGUUCAACGCCGACCUCGUCCGCGACUGCCGCCGGAUCUCGGGCUCCCCCGACGUGUGCAAGGACGUGGCCAACGACGGGUUCGGCCCGCCCAUCAUGGGCGGAGGCGAGGGCGGGUCGCUGCCGGAGCGGGGCGCCUACGACACCGACCAGUACAUGCUGGGCAUGAUCUUCCACGCCAGGAUGCGGCGGCACGAGUGCCUCACGGCCGACCCCGCAGCCGCCUCCGCGGUAUACGUCCCGUUCUACGCCGGGCUCGACGCGGCGAUGCACCUGGACAACGCAGACCUCGCGGUGCGGGACGCCCUGUCGCGGGACCUGGUAGACUGGCUGGCACAGCGGCCCGAGUGGCACGCCAUGGGCGGGCGCGACCACUUCCUGGUCUCCGGGCGGGGCACGUGGGACUUCCUCCGCCGCCCCGACGCCGACGGCUGGGGCAACGCGCUCAUGACCUACCCGGCCAUCCGCAACGCCACGUUCCUCACCACUGAGGCGAGUCCGUGGCACGGCCACGACUUCGCCGUGCCGUUUCCGUCGCACUUCCACCCUUCGUCAGACGCGGACGUCGCCGGCUGGCAGGACCGCAUGCGCCGUGCGCAGCGCGGCCUGCUCUGGUGCUUCGCCGGCGGGCCCCGUGGCGGCGAUACGGGAACCGUGCGUGCCCAGAUCAUCGAGCAGUGCGGCCGGUCGAGCCGGUGCUCCCUGCUGGGCAAAUCGGCGGUGACGAAGCCGGGGCACUACGCACCAGGCCAUGCCAUGCGGCUACUCGAGAGCGCCCAGUUCUGCAUGCAGCCGCGUGGCGACGGGUACACGCGCAAGUCCACCUUCGACUCCAUGCUGGCCGGCUGCAUCCCGGUUUUCUUCCACCCGGUGUCCGCCUACCUACAGUACACCUGGCACCUGCCCAGGGACUACCGGAGCUACUCCGUGUUCAUCCCCGCCGGCGACGUCGGCCGGAACGGCAGCAUCGAGGAGGUGCUCAGUAAGAUACCGUCGGAGAAGGUGGCGCAAAUGCGGGAACAGGUCAUCAGGCUCAUACCCACCGUGAUGUACCGGGACCCGGCGGCUAAGGGGGUUACGUUCAAAGACGCGGUGGACGUGGCCCUUGAGCGUGUCAUCCACCGUGUGGCGAAGCGCCGGCGUUCCGCGGCCGAGGGACGGGAGCACGUGGACAGCGUCGACGGAGGUGAUAGCUGGAAGUACGACUUGCUAGAAGAUGGGCAGGAGAAGAUAGGUCCGCAUGAGUUUGAUCAAUAUCUGUACAUGCACCUAGCCGGAGAUUUAGUUGGGUAG
rnacentral:rRNA from 1 species